rnacentral:rRNA from 1 species
AUUGAACGCUGGCGGCAGGCCUAACACAUGCAAGUCGAGCGAGCGGCGGACGGGUGAGUAAUGUCUGGGAACCUGCCUGAUGGAGGGGGAUAACUACUGGAAACCGUAGCUAAUACCGCAUACCAUCAGAUGUGCCCAGAGGGGAUUAGCUAGUAGGUGGGGUAACGGCCCACCUAGGCGACGAUCCCUAGCGGGUCUGAGAGGAUGACCAGCCACACUGGAACUGAGACACGGUCCAGAAUCCUACGGGAGGCAGCAGUGGGGAAUAUUGGACAAUGGGCGAAAGCCUGAUGCAGCAAUGCCGCGUGUGUGAAGAAGGCGUUCGGGUUGUAAAGCACUUUCAGCGGGGAGGCGUUACCCGCAGAAGAAGCAACGGCUAACUCCGUGCCAGCAGCCGCGGUAAUAC